rnacentral:lncRNA from 1 species
CUCACCCUCAGUGAAGGUUAAAUGUAACGCCAUCUUCACUUCCUCUGCUCCUGCACACCCCUCUCUGAGUCCCCUUAGAUCACAUUAAACCAUGUUAAAAUGCAGCCGGGUCCUCUCUGCUCACAGCUGCAGACUGAGCCCAAAUUUCUCACCAUGGCAGGGAGGUCCCUGUGAUGUAACCAGCAGUUUUCUCUCUCCUCACAUACCCUCCUAACCCUGUACCAUGUCUCUUGCUGUCUCAAACACGUCAGCAUGUCCCUCUCUCCUCUCUGCCCAAGGUAGUUCCAGUUCCGAAUUGUCUCCAAGGAAGCCUCUUCCAGGAUGUUUUUCUCAAGCAACCCUGCCCCUCCCCCAAGCUGUGGUCCUCUGCUCCACACAGCUCAGAUCAGCUCUGCCUGUAAUACAGCCUUGCUCAGAGCCUGGCAGCCACCUCUACCAUACGGCAUGUGUCUCUGGGACAGUCUGUGUCAUUUGUCUCUUGGGCCACUAGCACAAUAAGCUGCGUCUUUAGUCAAUCCUGAGCUAAGCUUGUUAACUCUCUCUACUAAAACACAGAAUUCUUUGUGGAGCUAAAGAAUCGGAGGGCUCGCUCUCCCCAAGAGUAAACAUCACUGGGACCUCCCCUGGGCAGUGGACAAAAAAAAAAAAAAAA